ACGCUCGACACCUACGGGGGCAGCAGUGGGGAAUAUUGCACAAUGGGGGAAACCCUGAUGCAGCGACGCCGCGUGAGCGAAGAAGUAUUUCGGUAUGUAAAGCUCUAUCAGCAGGGAAGAAACUGACGGUACCUGACUAAGAAGCACCGGCUAAAUACGUGCCANCNCGCGAGUAUNGNGGCGNGNGAGAG
rnacentral:rRNA from 1 species